GUAGGUGAACCUGCGGAAGGAUCAUUACUAGUUUAGGGUGCUGAUCCAGCGCCCAAACUUCAACCCUUUGACUUAAUUAAUUUGUUUCUUUGCCGGUUUCGGCCGGCAGAAGUUUUCUCAAACCCAUUAGAAAUUUGUCUUCUGAACUUCAAAAAGUAAUAAUUAAAACUUUCAACAACGGAUCUCUUGGUUCUG
rnacentral:misc_RNA from 1 species